rnacentral:lncRNA from 1 species
GGUUCCCGCCCGUGCCUCUCCCUCCACACCUCCCCGCAACUGAGGGAGCCGGCUCCGGCCUCGGCCAGCCCAGAAAGGGGCUCACACAGUGCAGGGCCGGGCUGAAGGGCUCCUUAAGGGCGGCCAGAGUUGGCGCCAAGGCUGAGGAGGUGCCCAGAGCGAGCGAGGGCUGCCAGGGCUGCUAGCAGGCUGUCACCUCUCAAUAGCAGUUUUGUAUAUGGGAUCUAGCCCCUCCCUAAGAGGUUGAUUCUAAGGAAGCCAACAGCCGUGUUGUGAGUACCCAAUGGAAAGUCUGUUGUGGCAGAAAACUGAUGUCUCCAGCCAACAGCACUGAGGCCCUGAGACCUGCCAACUGUCAUGAUCUUCCGAUGCCUGGACACAGAAAGAGCAGUGGAAGGGGUCGUUGCAUGAGCAAAGACAAAGAGUGGGACACUGACUGUUACAUCUCAAGGAGAAGGAUUGCCAGAUCAAAAGUCUUGCAGUUAACCAGGCGUGGUGGCAGAUACCUGUAAUCCCAGCUAUUCGGGAGGCUGAGGCAGGAGAAUCGCUUGUACCCGGGAGGCAGAGGUUGCAGUGAGCUGAGACCGCGCCAUUGACUCCUGCCUGAUGACAAGAGAGAAUCUACGUCUCAACAACAACAACACGCUUGGGCACUGUAUUAACUCCAUAAUCGGUUUAUUCAUAAUGCUGCAUCAUCCAACCAUCAUCCAACCUAUUUAUCAUUCACAAUGCCACCUGUGAAUACUGGCUUCCAUUGACUCUUUCAAGAAUUGCUACUGGGCCUCACCAAUGUUGACCACAAAUGCAAGUCAUACUGAGAGUAUGUAGUACAUGUGAAUAAUAAUUAGUUUUCUUGUCAUAUUAAACAUAUCAUUCAUACUAGUAUGAACAUAGAGAAA